AGAAUCAACGCUGGCGGCGUGCCUAACACAUGCAAGUCGAACGAGAAAGUGGAGCAAUCCAUGGGUAAAGUGGCGCACGGGUGAGUAACACGUGACUAACCUACCCUUGAGUGGGGAAUAACUUCGGGAAACCGAGGCUAAUACCGCAUAACACCUACGGGUCAAAGGAGCAAUUCGCUUAAGGAGGGGGUCGCGGCAGAUUAGUUAGUUGGCGGGGUAAUGGCCCACCAAGACAGUGAUCUGUA
rnacentral:rRNA from 1 species